GAUACUACGUUUUUCUCAAUAGAACCAACUCAGAAUACUUUUGUUAAGCAACUAAAUAGUUACGCAUGCGCCUAUAUCCCCCCGAUCAAAAUUAACCAGCUGCUUUGAAAAGAAUUCCCUUUUGUGCCCAAUUUAGUAUGGUGGAACGUAGCCAGUGUCAUUGUUGAACGCUCCAAUGGCUACGUAGCCUAUUGACUAGAAAAUGUUAACAUAAAUUCAAUAAUUUUUGACAUUUUAUAGGGCCCAGAACAACAACACACGGAAUGGAGCCAGCAGACGAAAUGGCUGACAGACUGACUGCAUACCCUUUGCAUUUGUUUUGUGCCGGCCUGAGAAUUAUGAAAUGGAAUGUUUUUGUGGCGUUUUGUGUUUUGUUCUUCUUCUCAUCAGAAUAAAAGAAAACCAGAGCAUUAGUCGUAUUGAAAAGUAAAACAAUAUGCGUGGAGAACUACCUCCUUGGCAAUAAAGCUAUGUCAUAGCUCUGGACUGCGGCCCAGAUGGCUGGACUAGGACGACGCUGCUAUGAAGAUGGACUAACGCCCAGCACUUGUUUUAAUGGCCAUGAAAUUAAACAACAACCUAACGAACCGAACACACACGCCGUAACAAAAGAGUUGCUCCGACCGUUGGAGUUGCAAACGGAAAAACUUCUCAUUUCCAAAAGGGUUAAAAGGUCAAGUGAUUAACAUAAGAACCAUAAAAAUAAAUUAAAAUUCUCUUGAAAUGCAUUAAAAAAAAAAAACAAAGAAACAAACGAACAUCUAUAGAAUCGAAGCACAUUGUAUUUAUUGUCGGUAUUCGUGUUCCUCUUUUGUCGUUCUUGUCGUGCUCUCUGAAUGCAGUUCAAGGGCCAUCUGGAAGAGCGGCGAAAGAAACUCGUCUUUGCUUCAAGGGUCAAACGAGGUUGAAGUCAAGAGUCUGACUUAGAAAAGUUUUCGAUGUUUGAUUUAACUAUGGAAUUUCAGAUCUAUUUCUAAGAUACUUAAUGGAAUUUAUGACAAUUCAAUGUAUAUUUUAAAAUAAUUUAAUGAGCGAGAACUAAUGACAAGACCAUAAGGCUAAAAUGAAAAAAAGUG